AGCAGCCGCGGUAAUUCCAGCUCCAAUAGCGUAUAUUAAAGUUGUUGCAGUUAAAAAGCUCGUAGUUGAAUUUCGGGAUUUGUCAGUUGGUCGGGCUUCACUGUCCGUACUGACUUGAUGGAUUCUUACCUUCUGAACAACCAGCAUGCUAUUAAGUUAGUGCGUUGGGGAAGCAGAUCUAUUACCUUGAAAAAAUUAGAGUGCUUAGAGCGGGCUAGUGCUUGAAUAGAUUAGCAUGGAAUAAUAAAAUAGGACGGCAUGGUUCUAUUUUGUUGGUUUCUAGGAUCACCGUAAUGAUUAAUAGGGAUAGUUGGGGGCAUUAGUAUUCAAUUGUCAGAGGUGAAAUUCUUGGAUUUAUUGAGGACUAACUUCUGCGAAAGCAUUUGCCAAGGAUGUUUUCAUUAAUCAAGAACGAAAGUUAGGGGAUCGAAGACGAUCAGAUACCGUCGUAGUCUUAACCAUAAACUAUGCCGACUAGGAAUCGGACGAAGUUAAUUUUAUAAUGACUCG
rnacentral:rRNA from 1 species